rnacentral:rRNA from 1 species
UACGGGGGGAGCAAGCGUUGUUCGGAUUUACUGGGCGUAAAGGGCGCGUAGGCGGCGUAACAAGUCACUUGUGAAAUCUCCGGGCUUAACCCGGAGCGGCCAAGUGAUACUGUUGUGCUAGAGUGCGGAAGGGGCUACUGGAAUUCUCGGUGUAGCGGUGAAAUGCGCAGAUAUCGGGAGGAACACCAAUGGCGAAGGCAGCUCGCUGGGACGUGACUGACGCUGAGACGCGAAAGCGUGGGGAGCAAACAGG